rnacentral:rRNA from 1 species
AACGAACGCUGGCGGCAUGCCUAACACAUGCAAGUCGAACGAGACCUUCGGGUCUAGUGGCGCACGGGUGCGUAACGCGUGGGAACCUGCCUUUAGGUCCGGAAUAACUCAGAGAAAUUUGAGCUAAUACCGGAUGAUGUCUUCGGACCAAAGAUUUAUCGUCUUUAGAUGGGCCCGCGUUGGAUUCGCUAGUUUGUGGGGUAAAGUCCUACCAAGGCGACGAUCCAUAGCUGGUCUGAGAGGAUGAUCAGCCACACUGGGACUGAGACACGGCCCAGACUCCUACGGGAGACAGCAGUGGGGAAUAGUGGACAAUGGGCGAAAGCCUGAUCCAGCAAUGCCGCGUGAGUGAUGAAGGCCUUAGGGUUGUAAAGCUCUUUUACCCGAGAUGAUAAUGACAGUAUCGGGAGAAUAAGCUCCGGCUAACUCCGUG